UUUAUUAAAUUGUUUUCACUUUGAUCCCUGAGUGUUUGUGCCCAUUACUGGUCUGAUAAGCCCACACUAUUAUCUGCCUCACAGUUGUUAAUAAUUUAAUUAAUAUAUCUUUUUUAAUUUUUAUAUGCUGAGUAUAGAUGAGUUAAGGAGAUAGAGUUCCUUGAUUAAAAAUAAAUUCAGGAAAUUCUUCUUUACCAUAUACUAUAUUAACUUUGUAUGUAGAAAAUAAUUUCAAAAUUGAAACUGAAAAUUUUUCUUCCAGAUACUUUCUAAAUUAUUCUGAUUUAACUAAUGUUUGAACAUGAAGUGAAUCAAAUACAGCAAAAACUUUCUUGUGCUUUUUAAGAUGUAGUUGUAUUAUUGACAGUAGAAAAAAUAUUGUCAUCUUAGUAUCUUUGUUUUUAGUAUACAUAAAUUAAAAAUUAGAUAUCAAAUUUGUCUUAGACAGCCAUUUUUGAAAUAUAUUUGCAAGUAUGGAUGUAAAACAUUUUCAAAUAGUUGAUAGUAAAUCAACUGGUUGAUAAUUUUCAAGGUCAUUUUUAUCUCCUAUUUUUUAAUAAAUCAUAUAUCAAACAAAUGUAGUCAAAAUCUGAUAUUAAGAACAAAUCUUUUUAAAUUUAUUUAUUUAUUUUUGCUCAGGACGGCUUGAGGUAAUCCAAGACUUAUGGAGUUGUGCAGUGUGCUACAUUAAAGUGUCCAGGUGAACAUUUUGAGUUACCUAAAUAUGUCGUCCUGGACCUUUUGAGGCAUGACACUGGAAUACCUGAGAGUCAACUAGGGUUGUAUUACUGGACAUAUCAAAUGAAUGAAAGGCCAGAUUAUCAAGACUGUACUAUAUUAUCAAAAUAAAAAACAGGUAUGACUUACCAACAUAAAAAAAUUAAACAUUUAAAUUAUAUAAUAAUGUAAUAAACAAUCAUUAGUAUAAUAAAAAGUUUAUGAAUAGUUAGGGAGAGCUGUUUUGCAGGAGACUGGAUAUGUUUUUAGCACAUCAAACUAUAAUUUCUGGCAGCAAACAUUGUGGUGGUGGUGGUGGUGGCACAACUUGGCAUGCAUUAUUUCAGAAGUGUGAUUUUCAACUUUCUGGUCAUCAUUACAUUUAAACAAAACAGUAAAAAAUUUAUACUGUAUAUAAUAAAUUAAAUUACUAGUAAAUUAAAACAAAUAUAUUGAUAUUUUUAUAAGUUGACAUCUGAAUAAAAAUGAAAUGAAUUGAAACUGAGGUGUCCACAACCCCAAUCUAAUGAACAUGACCUGAUGUAAGAAAAGAAGUUGGGGAUUCAAAUCCCAGCAUUGUAUAGAUGGAUGGCCAGAUGGCAGAGGCAUUAAAGACAUCAACCUACUACUCUGGGCUUUCCAAGAUUAAAUUGGGACAAUCAAAAACCUCCAAGAAUUUUUCAGGGGUGAUCUAUCCCAGAUAUAUCAGGCCCUGUCCCUCGUCAUCCAGCCACCAUAUUGUGAGUUUUGUCAGAUCCACAAUGACUUGAUAUAAAAGUCUUCCAAUGCCACAGGACAAAGAAAGCAAAAGAGUAAAAAAUGAAAAAAGAAAGUAUUGUGUAAAAAGUUGCUCUUAAAAUUAAAUGUUGUUUUGUGAUUAA
rnacentral:lncRNA from 1 species